GUGUGCCGCAGCAAGCGGCGUAAGAGAUGAGGGUAUGGCCCCUCGCUAUCGGCUUGCAGGAGCAGGUAGCAAACCACCAUAAGCGGCUUGGAUCAAAAGUCCCGGUCGUGAGCGUUAUGGAAAAGGCAUCGUAGAGAUGUCAGGUAAGAAUUAGGAAGGCGAACAACAGUGAACUGCCGUUCAAGUGUCGAAAGUACUCAAAUGACAUCAAAACCGGGGAUGGAAGUUACCCCGCGAUUAGUUUGGCCGUUACCUGCUUACGGGCCAUUCGGUGUCCGGCGUAGAGGCAGCGCGAUCCUAAUUCAGGCUCUUACGUUGAACUGCGGGAACCUUCGGUGGCGAUGUCAAGCGAAAGGCACAAGCUCAAAAGGCAAGGCUGAUAAUAGCAAUGCGUCACCAAGGGGCGGAGCAACUCGUAGUAGUGUUGAAGUUACUGUAAUGGUAAUGGAGCGAAGGGGUUGCAUUAUCCAGGUCUACGGAUUUGUCAACUGUGCAAGCAGGAGGAGCAAAACUUUAUGACCAAACCAUUUAACAUUCCUAAAGCGUUAAUCUGGGAGGCAUUUAAAAAAGUCAAAGAGAAUGGUGGCGCUCCAGGCGUUGAUCAUGAAUCUAUUGAGCAAUUCGAAAAGCAUUUAAAGAACAACCUAUACAAACUAUGGAAUCGACUUUGUUCUGGCAGUUAUUUUCCACCGCCAGUUAAGGCUGUUCCGAUUCCAAAGAAGUCAGGUGGCGUGCGUAUACUAGGUAUUCCAACAGUUGUAGAUCGAGUCGCGCAAACAGCAGUUAAGCUCUUAUUAGAGCCGAAAAUUGAUCCAUUAUUUCAUCCAAACUCAUAUGGAUAUCGUCCGGGGCGUUCUGCCCAUGAUGCAAUUGCGAUAGUGAGGAGACGAAGUUGGGAUUAUGACUGGGUUGUGGAAUUUGAUAUCAAAGGUCUCUUUGAUAACAUCGACCAUGAUUUACUAAUGCGUGCACUCAAGAAACACUGUGAAAUUCCAUGGAUUCUUUUAUAUGUGCAACGUUGGUUAAAAGCACCAAUGCAACACAUAAAUGGCCAUCUUUUAGAAAGGAAUCGCGGCACACCACAAGGUGGUGUUGUGAGUCCUUUAUUGGCGAAUUUAUUUAUGCAUUAUGCUUUUGAUAUGUGGAUUACGAAACAUCUUCAAAGUGUACGGUUCUGCCGUUAUGCAGAUGAUGGCGUAAUUCAUUGUCGGAGUUUAUCUCAAGCCAAACUUGUUUUACAAAAGAUCGAUGCACGAUUUCGUGAAUGUGGUCUCGAAUUGCAUCCAGACAAGACAAAGAUUGUUUAUUGCCAAGAUAUUAAUCGUCGUAAAGCAUAUCCCGAUGUUCAAUUUACUUUUCUCGGGUACACGUUUAGGCCCCGUAAGGCUGUGGACAAGUAUAAAAGAGUUUAUGUAAAUUUCUCUCCUGCAGUCAGUCGUGAUGCACUUAAAGCAAUGCGACAGACUAUUCGGAAAUGGCAUCUACAUCUGAUGUGUAAUCGCGAAUUAAGUGAUUUAUCUGCAAUAUUCAAUCCAAUUCUUCAAGGUUGGCAGCAAUACUAUGGUCGAUUCCAUGGUUCAGCAAUGUCAGCGAUCUGGCAACACAUGAAUGCUUAUCUUAUACGCUGGAUGAGGCGUAAGUAUAAAAACUUGGCCCGUCAUAAAAGACGGGCUAGAUAUGCCUUAGGGCGACUUGCGCGUGAUUUUCCAAAUGCCUUUGUGCACUGGAAAAUGGGAUGUUUACCAUCGGUUGGAUAAUGGGAGCCGGAUGAGCUGAGAGGUUCAUGUCCGGUUCUGCGAGGGGCUAAGGGUGAAAUUCCCUUGGUCUACUCACC
rnacentral:autocatalytically_spliced_intron from 1 species